rnacentral:sRNA from 1 species
GGGUGAGAGUGAUAUGGGUGGGACAUCUGUCACCCCACUGAUCACCAAGGUUGAUUCAGCUGAUCUGGCUGGCUGGGCAAGUGUCCCCUGCCUCCCUCAGGGCUCCAUGUGGUUCACUCCCAGAUUUGACAGAAUUCUAGCUUGUGGAAAUGACAGGACUCUGUCAGAACUCUGUUCCUAAUCCACUGGUAGGCUUCUAGGCUGGAACUAUAUCUUGAUUAUUCUGAUUGCAGCACACUCUGAAUUGCAGUACAAUUUA